rnacentral:piRNA from 2 species
CUUUUAAUCUGAGGGUCCAGGGU